UACGUAGGUGGCGAGCGUUGUCCGGAUUUAUUGGGCGUAAAGCGCCCGCAGGCGGCCCGGCAAGUUUCCGGUGAAAUCUCCCGGCUCAACUGGGAGGGGUCCGGGAAAACUGCCAGGCUUGAGGCAUGGAGAGGGAUGCGGAAUUCCCGGUGUAGCGGUGAAAUGCGUAGAUAUCAGGAGGAACACCGGUGGCGAAGGCGGCUAUCUGGACAGAAACUGACGCUGAGGCGUGAAAGCUAGGGGAGCAAACAGG
rnacentral:rRNA from 1 species